GAAUGUUACAGUGUGAAUUACAUGGCUUUUAUUUUUUAAAACUGUUUACUAGUUAAUGUGAUUCACUGAUUCUGACCAAUUGCUCUUUCCUUCCUCCAUUAUUCAGGAAGAAAGGCGAAGAUUAAAAAAUGCAAUAAUUAUUCAGUCAUUUAUUCGAGGCUACAGAGACAGAAAACAGCAAUAUUCCCUCCAGAGAAGUGCAUUCGAUCGCUGCGCACACUCGGCACAGUCUGGUGGCACUUUCUCCAUCACUAGUGCCCCCAAUCUUACCCUCCUGGUAAGGCAGCUUCUGUUUUUUUACAAACAAAGCGAAGAUGCAAAACGAUUGAUAUGGCUGUAUCAGAACUUAAUUAAACACAGCUCCCUGUUUGUCAAGCAACUAGACGGAUCUGAGAGACCGACAUGCUUAUUUCAGAUAAAGAGGCUCAUGAGCCUCUGUUGCAGGUUGCUGCAGAGCUGUAAUGAUGACAGUUUGAAUGUUGCACUUCCAAUGCGAAUGCUUGAGGUCUUUUCCUCUGAGAAUACUUACUUGCCUGUUUUACAAGAUGCUAGCUAUGUGGUGUCCGUAAUUGAACAGAUCUUGCACUACAUGAUCCACAGUGGUAGAAAGCCCAGCACAUUAGGACUCCUGGGCUUAGAAGCCUGAGUCGGCACUAAAGUAGACUGCAUUAGUCAGCAGAGGAGCUCAGGAGGUGCUGGUGAGCCACGCCAUGAUGGAGGCUGACAGCUCUGCGUCUCUUCUCCUGAAGUGCUGCGAUCCUCUGGUGAACCACGGGGAAGGCUGAAUUGUAUUCUGAUGUCCAGCCUCACCGUUUGGCUUGGGUUCCCCCCCCCACACACACACACAUUAAAAACGUAGAGAAGCUACUGAGUUAAUUAAAGAUAAAUUGGAAUUUGUGGAAUUUGAUUUUUUAAAAAUUGUUAGAAGUGGUGCUUGUAUGAAUUGAUAUAUUGUUAUAUAUGUCAACUAAAGGAUAAGCAUUCAGUGAGCAUUUUAGUUUUCCUGUUUUCUGAAAGUAUAGGGGAGAUAACCUAGAAAUAUAUACUAUUUGAAAUGUGUCUAAAAAUAGGAAAUGCUUGAACAUCUUCUACUGCGACUGCCACCUCUGGCGUCCUCUUGGGUGGCUGCUGUGUUACUUUUAACAAGGUGCUUCCUGGCUGACCUCUCUGUGCAGCUUGAGCCUCCCACUUAGUAACCACAGCUGGUGUUCUGAUGUAUGUCGUGUGCUUCUGUGCACUGAGAGCUUUGCACUCUGGUCGUGCCGUAGGUCAUCUGAUCAGAACACACCUGGCAGUGUUAAAGUCCUGCUGUGUUUUCUUUAAAAGAAAUUCUUAUGUAUUUGUGUCUUUUAAGUUUUACAGCAAAUGAGCUUUUAGGCUUCCCUUUGAUGUCACUAGUAGUCAGCGUCCGCCAGGUUAGAGUCAGGAUGGUCAUGCCGCAGGUCUGAGUUCAGCACCGAGUUCAGUAGUGGGAGCUCAGUGUGAGGCUGUGUAAGACUCCUGCUGAAAAGUGGCCAGGCGGGCGCGUGGCGUGCCUUUCCUCUGUGCUGUCAGACAGGCCUGGGCAGCCAGGAGGUGCUCACAGCCAUGCCAGCACGUUGCCCUUGGUGUUGGACAAGAACAGGGCAGCUCUUUCUUAAAGGUGAUGUGGCUAGAACCCUGGUUUUCGCGCACAACCAGAAAUACGUCAGGUGCAUAGGAAGGCAAAUUUGGGAGUAAUCCCAACAGUUACUUGUGCUUAAGUGUAAGUGGCCUGUAAAUCGGCUCACUUCCUUGGUACCUGGUUUGUGGUCUCCAUAAGUAUCAUUUCCUCUAAAAAAAUCUUACUAGGCCCUGGAGAUGAGGUAGAUUGCUGGUCUCCCAUGGGGUGAGGGAAGUGGGAUGGGAGCAUCCUGUCCAUUAC